CCUACGGGUGGCAGCAGUGGGGAAUAUUGGACAAUGGGGGGAACCCUGAUCCAGCCAUGCCGCGUGUGUGAAGAAGGCCCUCGGGUUGUAAAGCACUUUCAGUGAGGAAGAACGCCUGGUGGUUAAUACCCAUCAGGAAAGACAUCACUCACAGAAGAAGCACCGGCUAACUCCGUGCCAGCAGCCGCGGUAAUACGGAGGGUGCGAGCGUUAAUCGGAAUUACUGGGCGUAAAGCGCGCGUAGGUGGCUUGAUAAGCCGGUUGUGAAAGCCCCGGGCUCAACCUGGGAACGGCAUCCGGAACUGUCAAGCUAGAGGGCAGGAGAGGAAGGUAGAAUUCCCGGUGUAGCGGUGAAAUGCGUAGAGAUCGGGAGGAAUACCAGUGGCGAAGGCGGCCUUCUGGACUGACACUGACACUGAGGUGCGAAAGCGUGGGUAGCAAACAGGAUUAGAUACCCUAGUAGUC
rnacentral:rRNA from 1 species